rnacentral:rRNA from 1 species
AACGAACGCUGGCGGCGUGGAUAAGACAUGCAAGUCGAACGGGACAGACCGAGUAGCAAUAUUUGGAAUGUUCAGUGGCGAACGGGUGCGUAACACGUGGAUAACAUUCCGGAAAGCGGGGAAUAGCCCAGGGAAACUUGGAUUAAUACCGCAUGUGGCCGCAAGGCUAAAGACGGGGACCGCAAGGCCUGUCACUUUCCGAUUGGUUCGCGGCCUAUCAGCUAGUUGGCGGGGUAAUGGCCCACCAAGGCUACGACGGGUGUCUGGUCUUAGAGGACGACCAGCAGCACUGGAACAGAGACACGGUCCAGACACCUACGGGUGGCAGCAGUGGAGAAUCUGUCACAAUGGGGGCAACCCUGAUGGAGCGACGCCGCGUGGAGGAGAAGGUCUUCGGAUUGUAAAAUCCUGUCAUGCGAGAACAAGGUACUCAGGCUAAUAACCUGAUUGUUUGAUGGUACCGCAAGAGGAAGAGACGGCUAACUCUGUGCCAGCCGCCGCGGUAAGAC